rnacentral:rRNA from 1 species
CAGCCGCCGCGGUAAUACGAAGGGUGCAAGCGUUAAUCGGAAUUACUGGGCGUAAAGCGUGCGCAGGCGGUUUGUUAAGACGGAUGUGAAAUCCCCGGGCUUAACCUGGGAACUGCGCUUGUGACUGCACAGCUAGAGUAUGGCAGAGGGGGGUGGAAUUCCACGUGUAGCAGUGAAAUGCGUAGAGAUGUGGAGGAACACCGAUGGCGAAGGCAGCCCCCUGGGCCAAUACUGACGCUCAUGCACGAAAGCGUGGGGAGCAAACAGGAUUAGAUACCCGCGUAGUCCCUGUCUCUUAUAC